rnacentral:lncRNA from 1 species
AUGAAUAGGCCCUGCUCACAGCAAGAGAGCUUUCCUAGGAGUGCAUUGCACAUUGGCUGUUUUCCCAGCCCCAUGGAGCCUUUCAGGAGCCUGCUGUGGCACGUUUUGGUUGGAUUUAGGGGAUUGCAGUGUACAAGCCAGGGUUUUUCCCAAGUGCUGAUGCUGCGGUGUUCCCAUCAGACCGCACGCAGGAAGCAUCUUCAUGUUAUUUCUCUGAGUGGGCACACACAGCCCCAGAUCUUGGAGAAUGUACAGCAGCUUCAGCUCUGUAACCUGCAGCACACAGGGAAUGUCUGCCUGCAAGGAGAGAGCCCUGCUCUGGUGCCCUGUCCAGCUAACCUCAUGUGGCAGCCACUGGAAGUGUGCUCUGAGGAACUGGCCCAGAGGAAGCGACUCUGCACUCGUGGCUCAUCAGCCCUGGCAGGAAACAGCAGGUCAAAGUUAGAAGGAACUUACUCAAAAGCUAAUGAGUGAGUGGUGCAGCAAACACUGCAAGAAAGCAGGGCUUGACUGUCAGUGAAGGAUUUUGGGGUUCUCUGUCUUUAUUCCACUUUCUCUCUUCUUGUUCACUUCUGUUUAACCAGAGAGAUGCCAAGACGAUCCCUCAGAUGAGAAUUUGUAGGUGAGGCUGUGCCCUCUCCAGAUCUGAGCACAACUCUCUCUGGAAAAUGGGGCUGGUGCAGGAAACACACUGUUUAAUCUUCCUCAGUAUGUUUUUAUGAAAUAAAAUUAAAUCCUCAUGACUCUGUAUCUCA